CAACACAGUUCUUGCAAGGGCAGGUCCUGACGACACUCCUCAGCUGUUUUUGUCUGAGAGUUGUUACUUUUCCUUAACCUUGGAAGGGUAAUCUCACAGGGUAGAGAUUCCAGAUUGGUGUUUUUACUUUUUCUUUCUUUUUUCCUCCUCGACACUAAAUAUGUCACAUCUUCUCUCUUCCUGUCUGUAUGGGUUCCAUGAAGUUGGAAGUGAUUCCUGCCUUCGAUUCUCUGGUGCUCUUGGAAUGAAUCCUCCUGAUGCUUCCACUAAGAAUCCCUGAGAAGAUGGAACACCCCCGGCUCACUGCAGAUCACACUUCCCAGGUGGCUCUAAGCACGGAAUCUAUUAGGAUGCACCUGCUGUUCUGACUGAAGAACCCUCUCCAGGUGGAUCAGAAUCAGUGAGCGGUGACCACUGUAACUCACCCUCAUGUCCACAGCUACAAAAUUCUUACUUUGACAACUAUGGCCUCUGGCAUGGAAGAGCUACAGAGAGGAGCUUCUGGACGGAAUGAACACCAGAAGGCGGUUUCAGGGAGUUCUGUGGAUCUGUGUCUGCCCUCUUCAUCUCUGCCCUGACAAGCAUGUUCCAGCCACCGAGAAUCCACAAGCUGAGCGUCUAUGGAUGUCUAUGGAGUGCCACUGUGCAAACUGUACUUUCCAUGUCUGUAGCCGUCUAAUUGCAAAGGAAUUCGCAAAUACCGUAUCCUGCCUUAUAGGCCACUCACU